rnacentral:lncRNA from 1 species
GUGUGGGAGGAAUAAGAGUGUGUCAUAUAUACCAAGAACCAAAGAAUUUUGAAGAAGUGAUGCUUCUUCUUGAAAUAGAAAGAAAGAAAUGGGAACAGGCCAUGGAAGAUGAAUUAAAGUCAAUGGAUGAACAUGAGGUGUUCACUGAAACCAGGUUGCCACCAGGGCAAACGGUAAUAGGCAGCAAGUGGGUUUACAAGAGAAAAUUGCAAAACAAUGGAGAUUAUAGGUACAAACAAGAUUGGUGGCUCAGGGGUACACACAGAAGAAAAACGUUCAUUACAGUGAAGUUUUUUCGCCCACAGUGAAAACUGAGACAGUAAGAUUGGCCUUAGCCUUAGCUGCAUCAAGAAACUAUGUUGUAAACCAUUUUGAUAUUACAACUGCCUAUUUAAAUGCAGAGUUACAAGAAGAAUUGUACAUGGCGCAGGCACCUGGUUUUGAAAACUCCAAACCAGGAAUGGUGUACAAAUUAAACAAAGCAAUUUAUGGCCUACAACAGUCAGUGAGAAAUUGGUAUCAGUGUUUGCAUUCAGCUUUGGAGAAAUUGAAAUACAGGAAUAGUUUGGCAGAUCCAUGUUUGUAUAUCAAAGAACAUGGAAAGGAACUAAACAUUUUGCUGGUCUAUGUAGAUAACAUUUGUGUCAUGUCUAAAGAUCAAAGCCAAAUAGAUUUGUUUGAGAGGCAAUUGAAAAAGGAAUUCAAAUUAAAGAACUUAGGCCCAAUACAAAGUUACUUGGGAGUGCAAAUCCAGAAACAAGAGAAAGGAUUUGUGUUAAGUCAAAAAGUGAAAAUAGAACAAAUGUUGACAAAGUAUAACAUGCAAGAUUGUAAAAGCGCAAAAACUCCAAUGACAGUGGACUUUCAGAAAUCAGAAACUGAAAGUAAGGAGUUUGAAAAUCAGGAGAUAUACCAAUCAGGAAUAGGAAGUCUGAUGUACCUAGCCAAUUGGACUAGACCAGAUAUUGCUGCUGUGGUAAAUAUCCUGAGUAGACACGUGUCAAAACCCACACAAAACUAUUGGCAAGGAGUAAAAAGAGUAUUCAGGUAUCUAAAAGGAACACUUGACAAAUGUCUAGUUAUAAAACUUUCAAAUAAGUUAAAAUUAAAAGCAUUUGUGGAUAGUGAUUGGGCAGGUGACGUAACAGACAGAAAAUCAAUUUCAGGAUUUGCAGUAUUGUUUGCAGAUGUUCUAGUGGGAUGGGAAUCAAGAAAACAGAGUUCCAUUGCAACUUUAACAAGUGAAGCUGAAGUUGCAGCUUUGCCUGAGCUGUGUUCAGAAACUACUUGGUA